GGCGGAUUAGUCAAGUGGUAACGACGGGAGCCUUUCACGCUUCAGACGCUCGGUUCAAUUCCGGCAUCUGUCA
rnacentral:tRNA from 1 species